rnacentral:lncRNA from 1 species
AGAGACAGCAGACAGAAGCAGGGACGACAGACACAGUCCGGAGGGCUGUAAGCUAGGGGUGGUGGGAUCAGGUUUCUGAAACUUCCUCCACUGCCGUGUGGAUGCAAGGCAGAAGCUGGCCCAGGAGGGUCACUUAGAAGGCCACCUCUUAAAACAGAGAUGAGCAAAGACAACGGCUGACCUGGGGCAGGGGAAUUAGGGGUGGGGGAAGGGGAGAGGAGAUGCUGCCUGGGCUGGGGGCUGUCUUUCAUGAGGCAGCCAGAGGAGCCAAGGAUGGCCUCUGAAUGGGAGGCUGGGGCUGAGUCCAGCCAUCCCAGGACCUCCGGUGUGUGACUCCUGGACAUACCAGUCUUUGCCAUCCUAGCCCAGGCUGUCCCCACAUCCAAAGCUCCCCCUGUGGUCCCACCCCUGCUGCCCUUCAGAGCUGCGACCAUGGCCCUCAGGCCUGUCCACCGCCCUCGGCAACAUCAUGGCUAACCUGGGCUCCACACAUUUCUUCCAUCAGCAGACAGUGCCCCUCCGGGGGAAGCUCUGAGACCCAGCACCUAUCGGGAAAAACUCAAAGGUCCAGGCGCUGAAUCUAAGCCAGUUUAAAUAGAUUUUACUGCGACAGGGGAGACCCCACCAAGCAGGGCCAAUAUAUGUGGUCCCAGGAGGUCAAGAAAUGGUGACUUUCCGUAUCCACUCCCGUCUUUCACUGCACGAAGCCCUCGGAAGAUUAUUCUAUAGCAGUACGAUGACAGCAUCCUCCUUCUAGGAACUACAUCGUCUUCCGUCUCUGGAUGUGCCAUCUUUUACUCAGCUAGUCUACAUCUCAGGUGUUCCCCAUCUUCUGCACACAAGUAUUUGCACAUGCGUCACGUUCUUCAUUUGUGUAUUAUCUACGGCCCAGUUCUUGCUGCAGCAGCGGAAUCGAGAAGCUGCGGGAGAGACCCCGCAGCCUGCAAAGCUGAAAAUAUUUACUUCCUGGCCAUUCACAGAAAAUGUUUGCCAACCCAUGACCUAAAGCAUCAUCUCUCAGAGGGUUGGGAAGGAACCUGGAAGCUGUCCCAUUCAGAGGCGGGAGCUUCAACGGGACCCUGCGUCUUCUGCCUCCAAGGCCUGUGGUAGGGGCUGUCACAGGCUGCAGAGGAGUCCAGGAGGGAGAUGCUACAGGUAAGGCAGGAGGAUGGAGAAGAGAGAACAGACUUGAACUAGACUUAGGGUCACACCAGCAGCUGUGAGCAGCUGACGAGUGUUCCAGUGCAAGGAGAGGAGGGUGCAAGAGCCAGGGAUUAUACACUGAUUAGCCUCCAUCACCGCAGAAAUUAUCUUGCCUGUGCAUGGUGCGAGGGUCUGGAACAUACAUUUAACCAAGGCAAGGAGCGAAGUGAGAGGAAGCAAUAUUGUGGAUUGCAGGAGGUGAUGGAUGAGAUGAGAGAAGAAUCUGCAUGGUCAGAAUCUGUUUGGCAUCGGAAGGGAAGUACCCAGGAAAUUUGAGGAUCGCCUCGUCCAGUUGUCUGUGGAACUGAACUGUGAGUUGUCCAUGAGGGAUGAAUGGCAAUGCCAAUGUUUCCAGAGUUUCUGUCAUGAGGUCUCCUGGCUUGGAGAUGGAGAGGGCACACACAGGUUUCGGAUUCAAGCCUGCAGGACAGUCCUGGCUGCACCACUCAGGAACCCUGGGUGAGUCUCUUUACCCCUCACAGCCUCAGUUUUCCCUUCCUGGAAAUGGGACCACAAUCCAAACCUUGUAGAACUGCUUCAAAGAUGAAAGGAGACAUCGCAUGUGAGAUGCCGGCCCAUAGGAGCCAGGGCACGAAAGGCAGCUCCGCAUUGGGUCCCCAAAAAGUCUCCGCAGGUUGGCAGCCAAGAGAGCUACCAUUUCUUUGUUUGGAGAGAUUCCACUCCCUGGAAAGGGUAAUCCUGCAGGAAAGGAGGAGGGAGUCGUUCCAGAGUUUGGGAGAUGUCGGCUUUGACUCUGAGUGAUGCCGCCUCAAACACUUACUGUCAUACAGGAAGUUACUCAAACACAAUCAAUUAGACACCCAUAUUAGCAUAUUUGUCAUUGUAAUACAGCCGCAGAGAGGAGAUGCUGGAGACUGUUUAUUGCUGUUCUGAGCUAAUAUUUAUUAAAGUGAUUAAUAUGUUUUUCAAAUAUCUGUGACAGGCGUGGCAGGAAUUACUGAUCUCCUCCCUCGAGAGCCUGAAAGGGUGAGGGGUGGGAGUCACUUAGAGAGGGGCGGCAGGUAGGGGCCUUGGGGCCUCAGGGGACCGUGUCCUCCUCUGGGGCCCCUUUCCUGCUCGGGCCUCCUGCCUUCCAUCUUCCCCUGUCUCCUCCACCUUCAACUUCCCCUGUCUCCUCUCCUCCACCUUCAACUUCCCCCUCUACUGACCGUUCCCAUCGGCAUUCUGAGACAUCUCCCACCAUGACAAAUAGAGACCUCCCAGGAUGCCCUGUCCCCCUGCUCCUUCCUGGACCCCCUCAUCCCCAGCCAUUCUGCCAUCUUCCUCCUUCCCUCCAUAGCCAAACUCUUCAAAAGAACUCUUUUCCCUCCCUACCUCCUUUGCUCAUCUUCCAGUCUCUGCUUUUUAAAAAUCAUUACAAAAAAUUAAAAGUGGCUGGGCGCGGUGGCUCACACCUGUAAUCCCAGUACUUUUGGAGGCCAAGGCGGGAGGGAAUAACCUGAGGUCAGGAGUUCGAGACCAGCCUGGCCAACAUGGUGAAACCCUGUCUCUAUUAAAAAUACAAAAAUUAGCAGGGUGUGGUAGCUGGUGCCUGUAAUCCCAGCUACUCAGGAGGC